rnacentral:rRNA from 1 species
UACGUAGGCAGCGAGCGUUGUUCGGAGUUACUGGGCGUAAAGGGUGUGUAGGCGGUUCUUUAAGUUUGGCGUGAAAUCUCCCGGCUCAACCGGGAGGGUGCGUCGAAUACUGAGGGACUAGAGUACGGGAGAGGAAAGUGGAAUUCCUGGUGUAGCGGUGAAAUGCGUAGAUAUCUGGAGGAACACCGGUGGCGAAGGCGGCAUCCUGGACCAACACUGACGCUGAGUGAGCGAAAGCCAGGGGAGCAAACGGG